UCCCCAAAAUAUACAAAUCCAUGUUCUGGUGUUCGUAAGCGGUGAUAAGCUGCAAGACCCAACCAUUCUAGGUGCAGCAACACACUGACGCUGCCUUGUGCACGAACUCUGAAGCUCCAGACAUCUACACAGAGAAAAUGUAUUCUGGAAAUCACCUGAGCUGGUAACUUCCUUCUUGUGUGUCUGUUCCCACCAUCUGGCAUCAGUUCCCUGACAUUUAAAAGGUUUUAGGUUUCA